rnacentral:pre_miRNA from 1 species
UAUAUACUCCCUCCGUCCAAAAAUUCUUGUCUUGGAUUUGUCUAGAUACGGAUGUACCUAAUACUAAAACAUGACUUGAUACAUCUGUAUUUAGAAAAAUCUAAGACAAAAUUUUUGGGACGGAGGGAGUAUAUA